rnacentral:rRNA from 1 species
UACGUAGGGUGCAAGCGUUACUCGGAAUUACUGGGCGUAAAGCGUGCGCAGGCGGUUGUGUAAGUCAGAUGUGAAAUCCCCGGGCUCAACCUGGGAAUUGCAUUUGAGACUGCAUGGCUAGAGUGUGUCAGAGGGGGGUAGAAUUCCACGUGUAGCAGUGAAAUGCGUAGAUAUGUGGAGGAAUACCGAUGGCGAAGGCAGCGCCCUGGGAUAACACUGACGCUCAUGCACGAAAGCGUGGGGAGCAAACAGG